rnacentral:rRNA from 1 species
CAAAGCCUACGGGACGCAGCAGUGAGGAAUAUUGGUCAAUGGGCGGGAGCCUGAACCGGCCAAGUCGCGUGAAGGAAGAAGGUACUUAGUAUUGUAAACUUCUUUUGUCGGGGAACAAAGGCGGAGACGCGUCUCCGGAUGAGUGUACCCGAAGACAAAGCAUCGGCUAACUCCGUGCCAGCAGCCGCGGUAAUACGGAGGAUCCGAGCGUUAUCCGGAUUUAUUGGGUUUAAAGGGAGCGUAGAUGGGUUGUUAAGUCAUUUGUGAAAGUUUGCGGCUCCACCGGAAAAUUGCAAUUGAUACUG